UAUGAUAAACUCCCCCCAGUACGAAAGGACCGGGAAAGUGAGGCCUAUACUUCAAGCAUGCCUCCCCCCAAGUAAUGAACCCAACUAAAUUACCAACAAGGGCCCCCCACAUCUCCUCUCCUAGAAAAGGAUG
rnacentral:rRNA from 1 species